rnacentral:rRNA from 1 species
UACAGAGGUCUCAAGCGUUGUUCGGAUUCAUUGGGCGUAAAGGGUGCGUAGGUGGCGCGCUAAGUCAGGUGUGAAAUUUCGGAGCUUAACUCCGAAACUGCAUUUGAUACUGGCGUGCUUGAGGACUGGAGAGGAGACUGGAAUUCAUGGUGUAGCAGUGAAAUGCGUAGAUAGUCGGGAGGAACACCAGUGGCGAAGGCGGCUGCCUGGGCCAGUUCUGACGCUGAGGCGCGAAAGCGUGGGGAGCAAACAGG